AUUGAACGCUGGCGGCAUGCCUUACACAUGCAAGUCGAACGGCAGCACGGACUUCGGUCUGGUGGCGAGUGGCGAACGGGUGAGUAAUAUAUCGGAACAUACCCUAGAGUGGGGGAUAACGUAGCGAAAGUUACGCUAAUACCGCAUACGAACUAAGGUUGAAAGCGGGGGAUCUUCGGACCUCGUGCUCAUGGAGUGGCCGAUAUCUGAUUAGCUAGUUGGUGAGGUAAAGGCUCACCGAGGCGACGAUCAGUAGCUGGUUUGAGAGAACGACCAGCCACACUGGAACUGAGACACGGUCCAGACUCCUACGGGAGGCAGCAGUGGGGAAUUUUGGACAAUGGGCGCAAGCCUGAUCCAGCAAUGCCGCGUGAGUGAAGAAGGCCUCGGUGUAAG
rnacentral:rRNA from 1 species